AUGUAUGUGUGCAUGCACGUGUAUAUACUUGCACAUGUAUACAUAUGCAUACAUAUAUGCAAAAAUAAAAAUAGUCUACUCAAAACU
rnacentral:miRNA from 1 species